rnacentral:rRNA from 1 species
GACGAACGCUGGCGGCGUGCUUAACACAUGCAAGUCGAACGGGCCCGCUCUCUUUUUUGGGGGUGGGUUGAGUGGCGAACGGGUGAGUAUCACGUGAGUAACCUGCCCCCUGCUCCUGGAUAACUGCUUGAAAGGGCGGCUAAUACGGGGUGUGCCGGCUGGUCCGCAUGGGCCUGGUCGGGAUAGUUUCAUCUUCGGGUGUUUCGGUGGGGGAUGGGCUCGCGGCCUAUCAGCUUGUUGGUGGGGUGAUGGCCCACCAAGGCGGUGACGGGUAGCCGGCCUGAGAGGGUGGGCGGCCACACUGGGACUGAGACACGGCCCAGACUGCUGCGGGAGGCAGCAGUGGGGGGUAUUGCACAAUGGGCGGAAGCCUGAUGCAGCGACGUCGCGUGAGGGAUGGAGGCCGUCGGGUGGUGAACCUCUUUCUCCGGUGGUGAAGGCCCUGUCCGUUGCGGCGGGGUUGACGGUAGCCGGGUAUGAAGCGCCGGCUAACUACGUG